rfam:Schistosoma mansoni strain Puerto Rico chromosome 4, complete genome
AUCCAACUGAUGAGUCUCAAAUAGGACGAAACGUGCGUCCUGGAU